rnacentral:rRNA from 1 species
UACGUAGGGGCAAGCGUUGUCCGGAAUCAUUGGGCGUAAAGAGCGUGUAGGCGGCUCGGUAAGUCCGCUGUGAAGUCCAGGCUCAACCCUGGAAUGCCGGUGGAAACUGUCGAGCUAGAGUCCGGAAGAGGCGAGUGGAAUUCCUGGUGUAGCGGUGAAAUGCGCCAGAUAGUCAGGAGGAACACCAUGGCGAAGGCAGCUCGCUGGACGGUACUGACGCUGAGACGCGAAGCGUGGG